AGCUACUAUACCGCUGUUGUGUCCUGCCAAGAAAAGGAAUUUGGAGCCACCACUGUAAACAGCUAAAGUAAAACUCAUUUUUCAACAAAGAUUGCAGUUAAGAAAAGUCUUUAUAUGAAAAACAGGGCUGAGUUCUACUUCAACACUAUAUAAAAAACAGUGGGAACCAGAAAUGAUGGAAAGUCCUGCAAAGUGGUAUAUUUAAUCCAGUCCCAUCGGCGAGCAAAAAUCCCAUUUUCUGUUCCUGUGACAGAGAUUUGAGUUCCCUACUCACCUCAUGGAUGGCUGGAGCUGUUUAGAGGCCUAGAGAAGCAGGAACCAGCUUAAUUUAGACACUCCCGGAAUAAAACAGCUUCAGAAUAGAUGGAAAUGCACUCAAAGUUCGUUUUUCUGGCGAUCUUUCUUCAUUUUGAAUCCAGGGAGGGAAUUUCUUUGAAAACUGCUUGGAAGGCUUCUUUAGCCUCUUUUGGAUUGUCAGCCUUGUAUUUUACAUCUCAGACUUGGAAUUGAAUUUUCCAAGUGGAAUUAGAAGCCAUUCUUUUACAAGAGGGGCUUGCCCACUCCAUUUCUUCUAUUUUCUCCAGUAAUUUAUGUUUUUUAACAAAUGCCAGUGCAGAAUCCAAGUCUUCAAAUAGUUUUGGUCCCUCAGGAAGGAAAAUCUUCAAUCUUGCAGGAAA